rnacentral:sRNA from 1 species
AGCAGCCGCGGUAAUUCCAGCUCCAAUAGCGUAUAUUAAAGUUGUUGCAGUUAAAAAGCUCGUAGUUGAAUUUCGGGAUUGGCGCAUCGGUCGUGCCUCACGGGGUAUGAACUGGUGCAGUCAAUUUCUCACCUUCUGGAGAACCGCGAUGUCCUUAAUUGGAUGCCGCGGGGAACCAGGACCUUUACUUUGAAAAAAUUAGAGUGUUUAAAGCAGGCAUUUUUGCUUGAAUACAUUAGCAUGGAAUAAUAAAAUAGGACGGCAUGGUUCUAUUUUGUUGGUUUCUAGGACCACCGUAAUGAUUAAUAGGGAUAGUUGGGGGCAUUAGUAUUCAAUUGUCAGAGGUGAAAUUCUUGGAUUUAUUGAAGACUAACUACUGCGAAAGCAUUUGCCAAGGAUGUUUUCAUUAAUCAAGAACGAAAGUUAGGGGAUCGAAGACGAUCAGAUACCGUCGUAGUCUUAACCAUAAACUAUGCCGACUAGGAAUCAGACGAUGUUAAUUUUUAAUGACUCGUUUGGC